rnacentral:tRNA from 1 species
GCCGGAGUAGCUCAGUGGGCAGAGCGUCUCACUCGUAAUGAGAUGGCCGCCGGUUCGAUUCCGGCCUCCGGCU